GUCGAGCGAAUGGAUUGAGAGCUUGCUCUCAAGAAGUUAGCGGCGGACGGGUGAGUAACACGUGGGUAACCUGCCCAUAAGACUGGGAUAACUCCGGGAAACCGGGGCUAAUACCGGAUAACAUUUUGAACCGCAUGGUUCGAAAUUGAAAGGCGGCUUCGGCUGUCACUUAUGGAUGGACCCGCGUCGCAUUAGCUAGUUGGUGAGGUAACGGCUCACCAAGGCAACGAUGCGUAGCCGACCUGAGAGGGUGAUCGGCCACACUGGGACUGAGACACGGCCCAGACUCCUACGGGAGGCAGCAGUAGGGAAUCUUCCGCAAUGGACGAAAGUCUGACGGAGCAACGCCGCGUGAGUGAUGAAGGCUUUCGGGUCGUAAAACUCUGUUGUUAGGGAAGAACAAGUGCUAGUUGAAUAAGCUGGCACCUUGACGGUACCUAACCAGAAAGCCACGGCUAACUACGUGCCAGCAGCCGCGGUAAUACGUAGGUGGCAAGCGUUAUCCGGAAUUAUUGGGCGUAAAGCGCGCGCAGGUGGUUUCUUAAGUCUGAUGUGAAAGCCCACGGCUCAACCGUGGAGGGUCAUUGGAAACUGGGAGACUUGAGUGCAGAAGAGGAAAGUGGAAUUCCAUGUGUAGCGGUGAAAUGCGUAGAGAUAUGGAGGAACACCAGUGGCGAAGGCGACUUUCUGGUCUGU
rnacentral:rRNA from 1 species